ACAAUCAUCAUUUUGCUCGAUUCGUUGUAACACCUCCUCCAUAAUAAUCCCCAUAGCUUCAGCUUCCAUGGCCGUGCGAGUUACAGUUCCACCCUAAACCCUAACUACCAUAACAGAAACAAUGGACGAGAUUAUGGAGUUAUAUGAUGAUGAUAUAUGCUACACAGUCUGUAUGCAGAUAUUAAUUCCUCCGGCAAUGGAUUGGGCAUCUCAUUAAAUGACUAAGGAAACACAAUUAAUCUUUUACACAUGCCUCACACUCAUUAUUAUGAAGUACUUUCGUCGGUUCGUCCUUUGGAUCGAUCCAUACAUCAACGUCAGCGAAAGGAUUCUCUCUUCAAUUUCGUCGAUGAACCCUCGACAGUGAAGGACCAUAUAUGCCUCGCAAUCGCUAUCAAUUGGGCGCUGUCUCACAUCUUCCGUUGGAUGGACAUCAUGGAUGAAGAGGUCAUAGACAUCAUGGAUGAAGAAGAGGUCAUGGACAUCAUGGAUGAUGAAGAGGUUUAGGGCAAUUUAGUCUUCAAUUGAUAAGGCAUUUGCCUACCCUUAGUUAAAAACCUGACACCUAACUAAAAUUUGGGAAAUUUAGUCUUCAAUUGAUAAGGCAUUUGCCUACCCUUAGUUAGAAACCUUACACCUAACUAAAAUUUGGGAAAUUUAGUCUUCUAUUUUAGAGGCAAAGUUUCAAGUUUUGUUAAUAUGUUGAAAUUAACAUAUUUUAGUAAAUGAAAACAGUGUUUGCAAAUUGCAAGUAUACAAUGCUAGAGUUUCUAUGUUCU